rnacentral:lncRNA from 1 species
CGAUGAUCAAAACAUGCAUUGUACUGCCCGCUUGGCUGAAAUGUUGAACGGGUUCUCAGAUAAUCUGCAAGCACAAUCUCAGGUCGCUUCAGAGUUCUUGAUGGACGAAAUUAAAAUUUUAGAAGAGUGCAAAUGCAUCGGAUUGCCUAAUUUUAUACCAAGAUCUUCUUUCUUAGCUAUCCUUUCACAACAUGUGGAUGGAAUUCAUGCCAAGCCGGUUGAGUUCAUCAAAGAGAUAUGGGACUACAUUGAAGUUGUUCUCUCGUCUGUCAUUACCAAGUAUUCUGACAACUUUCCACAGAUCCAAUCCUCCAUCAAAAGGGCUGGUUGUAAUCUAAUGAGCAAGACUAAGGAACGUUCAGUGAACAGAGUAAUUGAGAUCGUUGAGAUGGAGAAGCUUACCGAUUACACAUGUAGCCCAGAUUACAUGACUUCUUGGACUCAGAAGACAACUUCACAGCAAAACUUCAUCAAUUG